rnacentral:tRNA from 1 species
GCCCUCAUAGUUAAAUGGAUAUAACUCUAGCCUUCUAAGCUGGUGUUGUUGGUUCGAUUCCAACUGAGGGCACCA